CCGUAACUAUAACGGUCCUAAGGUAGCGAAAUUCCUUGUCGGGUAAGUUCCGACCUGCACGAAUGGCGUAACGAUGGCCACGCUGUCUCCACCCGAGACUCAGUGAAAUUGAAAUCGCUGUGAAGAUGCAGUGUACCCGCGGCUAGACGGAAAGACCCCGUGAACCUUUACUAUAGCUUCACACUGGACUUUGACGUAAUUUGUGUAGGAUAGGUGGGAGACUAUGAAGCGGUGACGCUAGUUGCCGUGGAGUCAACCUUGAAAUACCACCCUGGUUACGUCGGGGUUCUAACUCUGGCCCGUUAUCCGGGUCGAGGACAGUGUGUGGUGGGUAGUUUGACUGGGGCGGUCUCCUCCCAAAGAGUAACGGAGGAGCACAAAGGUACCCUCAGCGCGGUCGGAAAUCGCGCAAUGAGUGCAAAGGCAUAAGGGUGCUUGACUGCAAGACGGACAGGUCGAGCAGGUGCGAAAGCAGGUCUUAGUGAUCCGGUGGUUCUGUAUGGAAGGGCCAUCGCUCAACGGAUAAAAGGUACUCCGGGGAUAACAGGCUGAUACUGCCCAAGAGUCCAUAUCGACGGCAGUGUUUGGCACCUCGAUGUCGGCUCAUCUCAUCCUGGGGCUGUAGUCGGUCCCAAGGGUCCGGCUGUUCGCCGGUUAAAGAGGUACGCGAGCUGGGUUCAGAACGUCGUGAGACAGUUCGGUCCCUAUCUGCCGUGGGCGUUGGAAACUUGAAGGGAGCUGCUCCUAGUACGAGAGGACCGGAGUGGACGUACCCCUGGUGUUCCGGUUGUCACGCCAGUGGCACUGCCGGGUAGCUAUGUACGGACGGGAUAACCGCUGAAAGCAUCUAAGCGGGAAGCCCACCCUAAGAUAAGGUUUCCCUGGGCCUUUAAGGUCCCUGAAGGGUCGUCGGAGACUACGACGUUGAUAGGCCGGGUGUGGAAGCGCAGUAAUGUGUGAAGCUAACCGGUACUAAUUACCCGUGAGGCUUGACCAU
rnacentral:rRNA from 1 species